ACUCCCGCGCGCGCGCGGCGAAGGGCGAAACCAUGAGACGCGCACCUGCAGGGGAGUCCCUCUCAGCUCUGCGCGCCCGCCUGACGGACCCGGCUCCAACCCAAGCCUUGGGAUUGCGGGCAGUCGCUAAACUACAACGCCUAAUGCGGCCGUCCGAAGGGCGGGAGAAAUGGAACAGCCCGACUAAGGCGGAAAGGAACUGGCGACCUCCCCCAGCCCCCACGGCCUUCCAGGAGGCUGGCGCUGUAGCAGCUGGGCCUCUGAUUGGUUGCCCCUUCGCGGGCCCGAGGGAUAUUGGCGGGAGAUUGGGCAGUGCGCGCCACUGCCUCUCAAAGUCAGGAGGUGUGGCCACGGCGAGGGCCGGCCCACCGAGAUGCAGUCCAAGAUCCCGACCGGCCCCUCCUACCCACCGCCACAGUAAGGCGGGAGAGCCCGCCUCUAGCUUAUACCCAUAGCUUUAAAACCGUACAAGCCAUCCAUUAACAGCCAAAUAACUUAGUGGCCUCUUUUUCCCCGCAAGGCCAUCUGCCCUGCCUCUGGUGCUUGAGUCUCCAGCACGCAGGCCAGGCCCCUGCAGAUCCCACCUGUCCUAUGUGGGCAAUCAUGACCCUUCCCUUAAGAGUGGAUCUGGCCCAGAGCAGCGUGAGAGGGUGGGAUGGUGGUAACUAUGUGGAGCCAUCUAAGGGCUUGUCCUUCUGAACGUACCAAGCACUGACACUGGUUUCUUAUACGACUUUCUGAUCUGUGACUAUAUUCAUCUGACUUUCCCAACAUCCUGCAGCCACUAUGUAAAAUACUGCAAAAGUUUGGUUUUACUACCAGGUUAAACAAAAUGAAGUACAUCACUUGAAAAGGAACACUUUAUUAAAUACUGUAUCAUUUAACUACA